ACUCCUCUUGAUCUUUUGUCAAUUCCGCUGAAAGAAUCACAAGAAAAGUAGAAAAAUCACCUAAAUACACGUAUUUCAAAUGGGAGUGAAGUACCUUUAGUUCUAGUUUAGGUGGUUCUUCGAUUGACAACUUGGGUUGCACAAAUUAUUUAACUUCCAACUCCAACGGUUCAAACCGAGUGGAUUGAAUAUAAUUUCUCAGAUUGGCUUUCAUCAAAGCCAUGUUUUCUUCACAUUCUUCAUCAUCCAAAGGGUCAAGAUCUAAAGCUUUCUCUAAUGGAUAUUCUUCAAAAUUG
rnacentral:lncRNA from 1 species